ACGCUGGCGGCAGGCUUAACACAUGCAAGUCGAACGGUAGCAGGAGAAAGCUUGCUUUCUUGCUGACGAGUGGCGGACGGGUGAGCAAUGCUUGGGAAUCUGGCUUAUGGAGGGGGAUAACGACGGGAAACUGUCGCUAAUACCGCGUAUUAUCGGAAGAUGAAAGUGCGGGACUGAGAGGCCGCAUGCCAUAGGAUGAGCCCAAGUGGGAUUAGGUAGUUGGUGGGGUAAAUGCCUACCAAGCCUGCGAUCUCUAGCUGGUCUGAGAGGAUGACCAGCCACACUGGAACUGAGACACGGUCCAGACUCCUACGGGAGGCAGCAGUGGGGAAUAUUGCGCAAUGGGGGGAACCCUGACGCAGCCAUGCCGCGUGAAUGAAGAAGGCCUUAGGGUUGUAAAGUUCUUUCGGUAUUGAGGAAGGUUGAUGUGUUAAUAGCACGUCAAAUUGACGUUAAAUACAGAAGAAGCACCGGCUGACUCCGUGCCAGCAGCCGCGGUAAUACGGAGGGUGCGAGCGUUAAUCGGAAUAACUGGGCGUAAAGGGCACGCAGGCGGUUAUUUAAGUGAGGUGUGAAAGCCCUGGGCUUAACCUAGGAAUUGCAUUUCAGACUGGGUAACUAGAGUACCUUAGGGAGGGGUAGAAUUCCACGUGUAGCGGUGAAAUGCGUAGAGAUGUGGAGGAAUACCGAAGGCGAAGGCAGCCCCUUGGGAAUGUACUGACGCUCAUGUGCGAAAGCGUGGGGAGCAAACAGGAUUAGAUACCCUGGUAGUCCACGCUGUAAACGCUGUCGAUUUGGGGGUUGGGGUUUAACUCUGGCGCCCGUAGCUAACGUGAUAAAUCGACCGCCUGGGGAGUACGGCCGCAAGGUUAAAACUCAAAUGAAUUGACGGGGGCCCGCAC
rnacentral:rRNA from 1 species